ACGACUACAUAUCAGGCAUAUCAAUAAGCGGAGGAAAAGGAAACUAACAAGGAUUCCCCUAGUAACGGCGAGUGAAGCGGGAAGAGCUCAAAUUUGAAAUCUUAAAGGGUUUCCCUUUACGAAUUGUAGUUUAAAGAAGUGUUUUCUGUUGGAGUUUCGGUAAAAGUUCUUUGGAAUAGGACAUCAUAGAGGGUGAGAAUCCCGUAUUUGACCGUUACUUUCCAGCUGUGUGAUACACUUUCAAAGAGUCGGAUUGUUUGGGAAUGCAGUCCAAGAUGGGUGGUAAAUUUCAUCUAAAGCUAAAUAUUGGCGAGAGACCGAUAGCGAACAAGUACCGUGAGGGAAAGAUGAAAAGAACUUUGAAAAGAGAGUUAAACAGUACGUGAAAUUGUCAAAAGGGAAGCGUUUGACACCAGUGUUGUUUAGUUGAAAAUCAAUUCAAUAGUUUUUGAUUCUAAGUAGUAUUGACUUCAUCAGCUUGCUGCUUUCUUCUCAGAAAUUAUUGAAUGCACUUUUCAGUUAACAAGUCAACAUCAAUUUCUUUUGUUGUAAAAGGGUAAGAGGAAGGUGGCUUGCGCUUCGGCUCAAGUGUUUAUAGCCUUUUAUCUCUGCAAUCGGAGAGAUUGAGGUCUGCAGCGUAGAUCCUUCGGGGUUAGAUACAUUGGUGCUAAGCUAUAGCCUUGUAUAGACAACUUGUUGACUAUGCUCAGUCAUGUAGCUUACUCGCUGAUGCUAUUUUACCUACGCUUAGGAUGUUGAUCUACAGAGCGAGAGU
rnacentral:rRNA from 1 species